UCGUAGAUGAGGUCCCUAGCAAGAGACAAAGAACUGAGGAUACACGUGAUGCAGUGUCUGCUAAACGGGUUGUAACAAAGCUUGAUUCUCAUGAGUUUCUAAACACUUUUUUCAAUCUGAGUCUCUAGAAAAGCUGUUUAUCACCAUGUUUUGCAUUCUCAUGGUUUUGUUUUUUAUUAGUUGAUUGAAGCUGUGCUAAGAGGCAAGUCCGGUGGUGAAGAAGUACUACAGGAGUACCAAACAACACAAACCCUAACAGAUGCCUCAAGAAGACAAAUGGUUAACGUACUGGUGGCUCACACGGUUGAUAAUCAUGGAAGAUGAGAGUGACCUUUCAGCACCAUCAGAAGCUUGUUAAUGACCCAGGCAGAAGUGUUGAUAUCCUCUCCACCUUCCCAAGAUUCCUGGAUACAAAAGGAUUGGUGAAUCACUCUCCUAUUUGAUGAAGAAACAUCCUCCGGGCUGCUUCAGGAAUGGGAUGUGUUCUUCAAGCCAAAUGUCAUGAAAGAGGCUAAGCGGCUCAGUUCAACACCAGAGUUGCGUUGCUUGGUGCAGUCAGCAGAAAGUCCCCCGGGAAGUGAUCUUGAUGAGGCAACAAGUGAUCUGUAUAUGUUUUGCUUGUUUUAAAGCAUAUGAUAUAAUUGCAGUUACAGUUGCUUCAUGACUAUAUGAUUAAAAUUAGGAAACAAGAGCACUUGUGAGAGUCUUACUAGAUUUAAUUUGUUUAUUCUGUGUAUCUCUGAAAGUUGACCUGAUUUUUGGGAUAAAUAUGAACAAUAGAUGGAUGACUGUUAUCUCAUAAUGCCUCCCUGUUCGUAUUCAACCUUGAAAAGUAUUUAAUUUGAAGUGUUUUUAGUUAAUUAUUGUGACUCUUUGUCCUCAUCCUAUGACCAAGAAAUAGCCUCCCUGUUGUUGCUGAUACAUCUCCUUUCACCACCACCAGGGGGACUGAAGUCUCCAAAAAUUAGUGUAUGUGAUGCAGUUGAGAGAUUUGUAGUCUUUCAUAAGUCAUGCUGCAGUUUGGAGGAGCAUCUCUGCAACCAGCAGGGUCGGCAGCCAUACCUCCUCACUGUUGGGCGUCAGAAGAGCAGGAUUGACAGCUUCUACAUCACCAUGGAUAAGCAUCUCAUCCCAUGGCAGGCAAACCGCUCCCUUGGGGCAUUUGAUGAACUUUUCAAAGCACAUUUUGUGUUUGUCUUAUGAUGUCUCAUUGGUGAAUUUUUACACAUUCAUGCAUACAGCAGUGUAUAACAUUGAUGUGGGGAAAAUGAAGGAGUCACCCAGAGUUAGAGACUCGAGGGCCACACUGGUUAACCAGCCAGUAGCACACUCACUGUGUGAGUAAGAGGCUAAAACAAUGCUGACCUGUUUCAUGUGUCAGAAACUGUAUCCCAGCAGUGAUGAACAUGGUCACUAUCCUGGACCCAAGUUUAAAUUGUUUUGUUCUCAGCAAGGCUGUAGGCAUCUGUUCCUAACACAUGCAGGUUUUGAAGUGAAGUGAAGUGUGGCCAAGUAUGGUGACCCAUACUAGGAAUUUGUGCUCUGCAUUCUAGUCAUUCACUCCCCCCACCCCCAAUCCCUGCCGGACCUGAGACUCAAACCCACAACCUUCAGGUUCACCUUCGGGUUGCAAGUCCGACUCUCUAUCCAUUAGGCCACAACUGCACCUUCAGAAGCACCUUAAUAGUGUUCACAGCAAUGUUCAACAAAUUGCUCAAACUUCAACUCUUGCAUGUUCCUCUAGUGAGCCAGUUGCCACGCACAUGCUUUGGAGCUUAAAUUUCAUAAACCGUUUGAUAUUCAAAGUUCAUACAGUGUUUCAGAUGAAUGUUUGUACAUUAUACCUUCAGUCACAAUGUUUCAACUGUAUGAAUGACUGCAAAGGUAA